UACGUAGGGACCGAGCGUUGUCCGGAUUCAUUGGGCGUAAAGAGCUCGUAGGCGGCUGUUCAAGUCUGCCGUCAAAGACCGUAGCUCAACUUCGGAAAGGCGGUGGGAACUGAAGCGCUAGAGUGCAGUAGGGGUAGGGGGAAUUCCCAGUGUAGCGGUGAAAUGCGUAGAGAUUGGGAAGAACACCGGUGGCGAAAGCGCUCUGCUGGACUGCAACUGACACUCAUGGACGAAAGCUAGGGGAGCGAAUGGG
rnacentral:rRNA from 1 species